CCACCUCUGGUUACACAUACAACUCAUGGAGUAGAAAUUAUAUGUAGUGGGUGUUCAUGUGGAAAAUCUGUAUGGCCAAAGCAUCCUGACAAACCACAGUUCCUGCUGGACAGAGAAGUUUUUCCCAACAGCUGGACACUCUGCAUUGCUCCCAUGUGUGCUCCUUACCUCCUGCAAGGUUGGGCUGUUCACAGACUUUGUAGAAUAAGGACACUCAAUUGCCUGUGCUACUUGCUGUCUGAGGGUCUUCCCACCAAGAUCUGAUGGGAUCUAAUAGGUAUUCCCAGGUUUGCUAUGAAGAAAACCAAGUAGCAGUCCAAUUGCACCAAAAGAACAACUUCAAGUAGUGCAACUGGACUGUCAAAGAGGAUAAAGAGAGGGGACAAAUGUUCAGCAUGAUCAAAACAUGUGAGGUUUCUCAUGCUCUUUCACCUUUUUUCUUUUUCUGAAAAUGUUUCAUUCUGUGGUUCCCCCAUUCUUCUUGUUCAGACCUGUGUAAUUUAAACACUGAUGCAGACCAUGUUUGGUACUCAGCAUGGUUACAAACAUCAUGAUCAAACAGUGGUUUUGAAGUUUGUCAAAAAGCCUUUGGCGGCUUUUUUCCUUAGCUUUACAAAGUUGUAGUCCAUGACAACUCAUUGGAGACUGAGGUUUUUGCCCAAGUCCCAGACGAUAUUACAGUUCCACCCAGGGAAGCUUUGAGAUUGGUUACCUCAUCUUUUCUACUUUCUUUCUGUUAACACCAACUCCCUUAAGAUGCUGUUGAUUUCUUACCCUUCCCAUUGCUGCAGUUUCUGGGCACCAAAUUCAAUGGACGAUUAUGGGAGAACAGUAUAAUGAGGAGUACUGGUCACUGCAAGUGCCUCUCCAUUGCAUUUUUGUUUGCCCAGUCGUUCAGGUGAGGAUAAAGGCAUUAGAGUAUGGAAAAGAGACAUGGAUUCUGCUUCCAUCUGUCACCAAAACAUCACAUGGUUUUGGGGAAAUCACCCCACUCUCUUCCCUGCCCUCUUACUGCUUACAAAAUGGGAGUGCUGGGCUCCAUUUUCCUUUGGGGGUAUGUUGAAAACCACAGACAUUGGUUUCUCUAUGAGAGCCCUGGAUGAACAGAUUGUCUGCUUUGCACUGUGGAAUGUGAUGGUCUUAAAUAGUUCUGCUUAUUAAGAAAAAAUGAAAAGAAGAAAGAAAGGUAAAGGGAGGUCACACUUCACAGCAACCUUCUCCACUGAAGUGUCUGUUCUCCAAGGUUUACUUCCAGCACACUGCAGCUACUUAUAGAAAAGAUCCUGCUGGUGUAAUUUGAAAAUCUGCUUUUGAAACAACUGUAAUAUAUGAUGUUAAUAUGUGGGUAGCUCUAACCAGUCUCAGAGUAUUUAUAUACUCCCAAAGUGGGUGUGCUUUUGACUAGUUAUAAUGUACUUAUGGAAUGAAUUUGUCAUCCAAGAAGAUAUGUUUGUGAGAGUGGUGCUUGAAAUGACUAUCUUCCAAGUCAUGAUUCAAAUUAUGGUCCUUUGCCACAAAGAAUUUCUGUUGUCCCUUUCCUCCCUGACUCAUUCCCUGCUGAAACUUGAGUUCACCACCGAGUUGGUCUGUAAGACCCCUGUCAAGGAUAGGAUAUACAAGUGCAUUAAGUACUUUAUAAAGCAGCUCAAUUUCACGAACAAGUUCUCAUAAAGUAGUUCAGGCAAAAACAGUGUGUAGAAUAAUGUUAGCAAAUGUGAAGAUUGUAAAGUUCAAAGUUAGGUUUCCAAAAGUGGUUGGAGGAUGGGAUUAGGCUAUGGUUCUGUUGAAUAAUUCUUCCUCUUAGUAAAGUCCUAGAAGAAAUAGAGGUGGAUUUGAGGGAUCCCUUUUUUUAUUUUAAGAUCCAUUUGUUGUUUUGCUGCAGCUUAAACCGUGAAAAAACACUUAUGCCACCAAUACUUUAAAUACAUUGUUCAUAGUGAUAAAUAGUAAUGUUUUUUUCAUAUUUCAUCACAUCUCUUUUGUUGCGUACAUGGCCUUUUUUAUUUUUUAAGCAACUACAAUAGACAGCUUUUAUGUUUCCCUAUAUUCUUUGGUUCCCAGAUUACCACACCAGUUUGCCAAGCAUUCAAAAAAACAAUCACUGCUUAAGCAUUCAGUGUAUUUUAUACCUGCUUCAGUUUCUCUUGGUAUUCUUUUCUCCUUUCUCAGUUUUGAAGUAAAUUAUUUUUUUUUCUAUUUUCUUUUUUUCUUUUUUUUUUUUUCUUUUCUUUUUUCAUCCCUAAUAUGCAUUUUAUGACUUUGUCCUUUCUUUUGGCAAGUUAGCAGUAGCUGGAUUUUAAAACACUUUUGCUUGAGUGUUAAUUGUCCUUCACAAAUCAGCCAAGGUCUCUGGCUUUUGAAUUAAUGCAAUCUGCAGAAACAAGCACAGGGCCAGGAGUAAAAAUCAAAGCAAAAUUCCCUUGACAUGAUAAUUGUCUAAUAUACAAGCAGGUGUAAUAUUUUGAGCAUAAGUCAGUGGUGUGGCCUAUUAGAUAUUGAUUCAAGUGGAGGCUUAAAAUGUGUAAAGAUUCAAAUCUUUCUUGAAAAAAAUCAAAUUUUUCUUUGUUGUUCAAAUACCUGCAUCUCAAGCAUAUCUUGGUUUAUGCUUUUGCUUAUUUGUAGCAUAAUUACAACAUAAAGGCCCAGUCUUGGAGCUGG